GGAUGAGCCCGCGGCCUAUCAGCUUGUUGGUGAGGUAACGGCUCACCAAGGCGACGACGGGUAGCCGGCCUGAGAGGGCGACCGGCCACACUGGGACUGAGACACGGCCCAGACUCCUACGGGAGGCAGCAGUGGGGAAUAUUGCACAAUGGGCGAAAGCCUGAUGCAGCGACGCCGCGUGAGGGAUGACGGCCUUCGGGUUGUAAACCUCUUUCAGCAGGGAAGAAGCGAAAGUGACGGUACCUGCAGAAGAAGCGCCGGCUAACUACGUGCCAGCAGCCGCGGUAAUACGUAGGGCGCAAGCGUUGUCCGGAAUUAUUGAGCGUAAAGAGCUCGUAGGCGGCUUGUCACGUCGGUUGUGAAAGCCCGGGGCUUAACCCCGGGUCUGCAGUCGAUACGGGCAGGCUAGAGUUCGGUAGGGGAGAUCGGAAUUCCUGGUGUAGCGGUGAAAUGCGCAGAUAUCAGGAGGAACACCGGUGGCGAAGGCGGAUCUCUGGGCCGAUACUGACGCUGAGGAGCGAAAGCGUGGGGAGCGAACAGGAUUAGAUACCCUGGUAGUCCACGCCGUAAACGGUGGGCACUAGGUGUGGGCAACAUUCCACGUUGUCCGUGCCGCAGCUAACGCAUUAAGUGCCCCGC
rnacentral:rRNA from 1 species